rnacentral:rRNA from 1 species
UACGUAGGGACCGAGCGUUGUCCGGAAUCAUUGGGCGUAAAGAGCGUGUAGGCGGCUUGCUAAGUCCUGCGUGAAAUCUCGGGGCUCAACCCCGAGCGGUCGUGGGAAACUGGCAGGCUAGAGUGCGGGAGAGGAGAGUGGAAUUCCUGGUGUAGCUGUGAAAUGCGCAGAUAUCAGGAAGAACACCCGUGGCGAAGGCGGUUCUCUGGGACGGUACUGACGCUGAGACGCGAAAGCGUGGGGAGCGAACAGG